rnacentral:rRNA from 1 species
AGUGGAUGGGGAGCAACCUAGUUGUGCGUGUGUAAAGGUAGUGCCAAGAAAAGCGAUGAUCAUGUUGAAAAUCAAUUCCCGGUACCCGAAACCGACACAGGUGGGCAAGUAGAGAAUACUAAGGGGCGCGAGGUAACUCUCUCCAAGGAACUCGGCAAAAUGACCCCGUAACUUAGGGAGAAGGGGUGCCACCGAGAGGUGGUCGCAGUGAAGAGGCCCAGGCGACUGUUUAGCAAAAACAUAGGUCUCUGCAAACUCGAAAGAGGAGGUAUAGGGGCUGACGCCUGCCCAGUGCCGGAAGGUUAAAGAAGUUGGUCAGUCUUAGGAUGAAGCUAGCGACUGAAGCCCCGGUGAACGGCGGCCGUAACUAUAACGGUCCUAAGGUAGCGAAAUUCCUUGUCGGGUAAGUUCCGACCCGCACGAAAGGCGUAACGAUCUGGGCGCUGUCUCGGAGAGAGGCUCGGCGAAAUAGGAUUGUCUGUGAAGAUACGGACUACCUGCAUUUGGACAGAAAGACCCUAUGAAGCUUUACUAUAGCUCGGAAUUGUGUUCGGGCUUCCUGUGCGCAGGAUAGGUGGGAGGCGUAGAAGGUAUUCUUGUGGGGACACUGGAGCCAACGGUGAGAUACCACUCUCAGGAGGCUAGAAUUCUAACUUAAUUAAGGACAGUUUCAGGUGGGUAGUUUGACUGGGGCGGUCGCCUCCAAAAAGGUAACGGAGGCGUACAAAGGUUCCCUCAGACUGGUUGGAAAUCAGUCGAAGAGUGCAAAGGCAGAAGGGAGCUUGACUGCGAGAAGUACAGUUCGAGCAGGGUGGAAACACGGUCUUAGUGAUCCGACGGUGCUGUGUGGAAGGGCCGUCGCUCAACGGAUAAAAGUUACUCUAGGAUAACAGGCUGAUCUCCCCCAAGAGUUCACAUCGACGGGGAGGUUUGGCACCUCGAUGUCGGCUCAUCGCAACCUGGGGCGGAAGUACGUCCCAAGGGUUGGGCUGUUCGCCCAUUAAAGCGGUACGUGAGCUGGGUUCAGAACGUCGUGAGACAGUUCGGUCCAUAUCCGAUGUAGGCGUGAGAAUAUUGAGAGGAGCCUUCCUUAGUACGAGAGGACCGGGAAGGACGCACCGCUGGUGUACCUGUUAUGAUGCCAAUUGUAAACGCAGGGUAGCCAAGGGCGGAGAGGAUAACCGCUGAAAGCAUCUAAGUGGGAAGCCCACCUCAAGAUGAGUAUUCUGGUGUAAGGUCACGGGAAGACGACCCGUAAAUAGGCACGAGGUGGAAGUGCAGAGAUGUAUGAAGCCGAAGUGUACUAAUAGACCGUCGGCUUG